rnacentral:lncRNA from 1 species
CUGUUCAAGUCAGUUUGCAGAACAAAAUUUCCAAUCAAAGCUAAGUGUUCUUCCUCUUAGUCUUAGCCCCCUUCUGAAUCUGCCACUGUUGAGUUUAUUUAUUAAUAAGUUUUUUAAGAAACAAUUAAAUCAAAUGGUCAUUUAUCUUAGAGGAUCUUGCAUGUAUUUUCUGUAUCUUUUAUCUGUCAUUUUUAUGCCCCACCUAAGAUAGUAGAGGGGCAUUAUGUUUUCUGGUCUGUGCGUCCGUUCAUUCGUCCGUCCGUCUAUCUGUCCCGCUUCAGGUUAAAGUUUUUGGUCA